GUUAUAGGGUCAAGUGACUAAGAGCAUGUGGUGGAUGCCUUGGCGAUGAUAGGCGACGAAAGACGUGAUAGCCUGCGAUAAGCUUCGGGGAGCUGGCAAACAAGCAUUGAUCCGGAGAUUUCUGAAUGGGGAAACCCACCUCGCAAGAGGUAUCGCAUGAUGAAUACAUAGUCAUGCGAGGCGAACCGGGUGAACUGAAACAUCUCAGUAGCUCGAGGAAAAGACAUCAACCGAGAUUCCGAAAGUAGUGGCGAGCGAAAUCGGAGGAGCCUUCUAGUGAUAGCACGACUGUUAGCAAAGCGGAAUGGAAAGUCCGGCCAUAGUGGGUGAUAGCCCCGUAUGCGAAAAC
rnacentral:rRNA from 1 species